rnacentral:misc_RNA from 1 species
GAUUUGGAUGAUCGAAGGAAUUCCAUUUUUGCUGUUGCAGUCCUUCCGGGAGGAGCGACCAAGGGCGAGGUCAGGGAUCACCGUGGUCCCACGAUGGACGGGAAGAGAAAUCCUCCGACCUCGGUCAGAGGCGACAUGGAAUACAUCCGGCCUCUUAAGAUCAGUCAGAAUCAGUACGAGGAUCCUCCCUUGGGAACCAGCACCGCUAAAAGACACCACAGUGGCCACUUUCGACAUGCAAAUGCAGAAGUCUGGGAUCCACAUCCACAAUACGAGUUCACGGCUUUUGGAAAGAGGUUUCGACUGCGAUUGGCUCACGACUCGAGUUUCGUAUCACCUGAUAUCAAGUUGACACACAUCACCGAGAAUUCUACGAGAAGGGAACAUUUAGGACAUCAACUUGGCUGUUUCUACAAUGGAUACGUCGAGGGAGAUCCAUCCUCUGUCGUCACCGUCAGUCUUUGUCACGGAAUGACCGGCCACUUGAGAACUUCCAGUGGGAAUUAUUUCAUCAAGCCCGCCGAAAGAUGGAGAAACGGCGACAAGAGUUCCGUGGGCUCUCCUUUGAAACACGCCAUUUACAGAGUCCCCUCUUCAAGGACCCGUUCCAACCACGUGGAGGACCCAGAAGACGUGAAAAAUCACAAUUGCGGAGUAAUCGAUUACGAUACAAAUGAUCCGCCAUCGCCUUUGACCGAUAAUGGCUCCGGAAGUAAAAUCUACGUGGGAAAUCGCCGAGACCGGAGGUCCUUGAUGGAGAAAAAAUCCUUGGACGACUCCAGAGAGAACUACUUUGACGAGGACGAGUACGAGCAAUUCGUCAGUCAGGACGAGCAUCGUCGAUAUCUGGUGCUCAAUGAUCCUCACUACGAAAGGUACUACCCUGUAGAGCCUAGAAGAGCGUACUCUACCUCGCAGGACUCGGACUUCAGCACGGAUCCUUUUUACAGCUGGCGACCCCGAAGAGCACUUCCCAGGGAAUACUUCAUCGAGAUCAUGGUAGUGGCCGACGCCAAGAUGGUGGAGUACCACGGCAGCGAACUCUUCAGCUACAUCCUGGUCCUCAUGAGCACGGUGUCGAGGAUCUACAAGGACCCCUCGAUCGGAAACGCGAUCAGCAUCGCUGUCAUGAAAAUCGUGAAAACCGAAGAAAUCUUCGGCACGAGGGACUCGGAAAGUGACGGCAUCUCUGCCGCGGACAUGUUGAAGAAAUUUUGUUACUGGCAAAAGUUGAACAAUCCAGACGAGUCGUCCCCUGAGCAUCACGACGCCGCCCUGCUCCUCACUAGAGAGAACCUGUGCCACAAUCCUGAGCAAAAACGAUGCGACACUUUGGGACUGGCAGAACUGGGGAGGAUGUGUUACCCAAGAGCAUCCUGUGCGAUCGUUCAGGACAACGGACUAGCAGCAGCCUUUACGAUUGCCCACGAAAUCGGGCACGUACUGAACAUGCCGCAUGACGACGACCCUAGAUGCAAAGAUUACCGAAACCACUCCGGGGUACACAACGUCAUGUCCAGGAUGCUGGACGACAACACCUUCCCCUGGGAGUGGUCCAAAUGCUCGCGGCAUUACGUUACCGAGUUUUUAGAGGCAGGAAACGCAAACUGCCUGCUGGACGAGCCCAGCAAAGUGAUGGCCAGGUCCAACACUGCCCGACUUCCUGGUGAAGACUACUCGGAGAACAAACAAUGCGAAUUGGUCUUUGGUCCAGGGUCCAUGAUCUGUCCGUACAUGGUGAGUGAUGUGUGCAAAAGACUGUGGUGCACCGCACCGAUCUGGGACCAGGAGCAGCAGUGUCACACCCAACACAUGCCCUGGGCUGAUGGGACCGAGUGCGGACUCGAGAUGUGGUGCCACAGAGGGGAAUGCGUGUCACGGAGGAACCUCCAGCCCGUGGAUGGGCAAUGGGGUGCCUGGAGUCGCUACGGCGAGUGCUCCAGAUCUUGUGGAGGUGGAGUCAAACAGAAAGUCAGGGAAUGCAACGACCCUCCACCUAAGAAUGGCGGAAAUUACUGCGUUGGCGACCGCGUCCGGUACCGCAGCUGCGGAACUAGAGAGUGUCCGUCCAAAGCAUCGGACUUUAGGGAGGAGCAGUGCGCCAAAUUCGACAACAACAAUCUUAACAUCCAAAACCUGGCCAGGGAUGUCAAGUGGCAUGCAAAAUACACGAGAAUACUUCCGGAAGACCGCUGCAAACUCUACUGUCAGGUGGAAAGUAAUCAGUAUUAUAUGCUGCGAGACAAGGUGAUUGACGGAACGCCUUGCGGCCCGGAUUCCUUUCACAUAUGCGUUAAUGGUCGGUGUAAGCCGGCAGGGUGCGAUCACAUGUUGAACUCCACAGCCGAGCUGGAUACCUGCGGCAUCUGCAAAGGUGACAAUUCGACUUGCCAAAGAAUCACGGGCUCCUACAAUUCCAGCAAUUACGGGUACACCAGGGUGACCAAGAUCCCUGCCGGUAGCAGCUACAUCGACAUCAGGCAAUAUGGCUGGGGAGGCUCCCAGAAUGACAGCAACUACCUAGCACUUAGGAUCGGCGAAGACGGGAAGUACAUUUUGAACGGGAACUUCAUGGUGAUGCAGGGAAAGUACCCAGUUCAUCCCGGGAUCACGAUCGAAUACAGUGGACCAGAAUCCGUCGUUGAGCGCCUCAACAGCUCACGACCCAUCAACGUCGAUCUGAUCCUGGAGGUGUUAUCAGUGGGGAACGUCUAUCCACCGCAGAUCUCGUACGAAUACACGGUCCCGAAGAAGAUACUCAACAGCUUCACCUGGAUCCUCAGCGACUGGUCCAGCUGCAACCGGAUGUGCCAAGGCACCAAGCACCGGAAAGCGGAAUGCAGGAGCACGGAACAGAAGGAUGUGGUUUCCGAUGACUACUGCAGACCCGACGAGAAGCCCCGGGAGGAGACACUGAUGUGCAACUCCCACUGCACGCUGCAGUGGCAGGUCACGUCUUUGUCCGAAUGCUCCAGUCAUUGUGGACCAGGAACACGCAGGGUGACGUCCAGAUGCAUUCAGAUCAUUUCUAACUUGGGAACCCAUCCACCCAGGAUCAUUCCAAAGCAUGCUUGUUCACAUUUGGAGCGACCUCCUGAGCUGGAGUCCUGCACUGGGUCUUGCGAGGAUGCUCACUGGAGGUAUGGGGAAUGGGGCAGCUGCAGCGUCACUUGUGGUGGUGGUAUCCAAAUGAGAACGGCUACUUGCGUCGACUCUAACGAUCGACAAGUGCCGGAUGAAAAGUGCAUCUCGGGGGAGAAACUGCUGAAGAGAAUCUGUGGACAAGAGGCUUGCCCAAAGUGGUCCAUGGGAGACUGGUCACCGUGCUCGGUCACCUGUGGAGUGGGAAAACGGGAAAGGGCACACUGGUGCGAGGUGGAAAACAGAGUCAUCUCCAAGAGUUACUGCAAAGGAUCUCCUCAAGGUGUGAGCGAAACUUGCAAUGCAGGUCCUUGUCACUCCUGGCACGCUGGUGACUGGAGUACGUGUUCCGUGUCCUGUGGAGAGGGAACAUCCAGGAGGAAUGUGGUUUGCCAGGAUACCGCUGGUGUUCAAACAGAAGGAUGUGCUCCUUCCGAAAAGCCAAUGGACAGGAAGACUUGCAAUCUUCAGCCUUGCCCCACUGUGCCCAGUUUGCCAACGAUAACUUAUUCAUCGGACCCCACUCAAGAUGAAGUAGCUCAACAUGACAAUGAGAUCGACAGUAACGGCAUCACCUUCUACUUUGGUUAUAAAUGGCGAACCGGCAGUUUUGGCGACUGCUCGAAACCUUGCAACGGAGGCUACAUGUACCGUGUCGUGAAGUGCACUUCAAUAGAAACUGGGGCAGUUUCCUCGGAUGAAAAUUGCGAUCCAAAACGAAGACCCCGAUCAAUGGCGUCCUGCAAUCAUCAUUCCUGUCCUCUCUGGAACACCGGAGAAUGGAGUGAGUGCGAUGUCGAGUGUGGGGAUGGCUUUCAACAUCGUCAAGUUCGAUGUCAAAGUCUCCGUGGGGAAGUUCUGCCCGAUAAAGAAUGUUCUUCCGAGCAGAAACCACGACAUGUUGAAAGAUGUCGAAAAUCUGCAUGCAGGAAAGAUAUUACAAAUGUCAAAGAAAAGACUCCGGAUGUCAAUGGUCAUCGCAGAUGGCGAGUGUCCAACUGGACUCCGUGCUCGAAAUCUUGCGGAAGCGGCUUUAAGACGCGCAAGGUAGAAUGCACCUUGAAGAGCGGAUCCCGAGGAGCCGAGGUGCUGGUCUCGGACGAGCAGUGCUCGAGACUCGGACUUUCCAGGCCGAAAUCGCAGAGACCUUGCCAGCGAGUACCCUGUGACUAUACAUGGCAAGAAGGCGCCUGGUCCGAGUGCACGGCAGAAUGUGGAGACGGGGUGCAGAGGCGAGCUGUCACUUGUCAUCGUGUCAAUCGUUUUGGGUGGAUGGACCCAACUCCUGUUGAAGGCUGUCAAGACGUUGACAAGCCAAUUUCUCAACAGCCUUGCAAGCUUCGAGAGUGCAGCGAUCGUUAUUAUUGGACAGCCGGACCCUGGAAAAAGUGCAGUCAUCCAUGUGGCAGAAAAGGCAGACAAGUCCGCAGACUAUUCUGUCACGACAGAAACGGAAAGAAGGUUCCACGUUUCAAUUGUCCGGCAGCGUUCAAGCCGCAAAGGAAACGGAAGUGCAACCAACGUCGAUGUGGACCAUUGACUUGUCAAGAGGCGAAAAGACGGUUUAAAUCUAGCAAAGAUGGGGAGUACAUGUUGCUCGUAGGUGGAAGGAACAUGUCAAUUUACUGCCACGAGAUGUCAAGCGACGAGCCUCGGGAAUAUCUGACUUUGCCUGCAGGUGAUCGGGAGAACUUUGCGGAAAUCUACGACAAGAGACUACUAAAUCCACAUAGUUGUCCUUUCGAUGGACAGAGGAACGAUAGUUGCAUGUGUGUUGCCGAUCCUGGGACCGUCUCUGGGAGAACAAUGUUCAAAAGAGUUCGCUUAGACCCCACUAGACUUCGCAUUGUUGCGAACGAUUACACGUUCUCAUGGACGAGCGGAGCGAAACGCGUCGAAUUUGGGAAAGCUGGAGAUUGUUAUAGUUUAUCGAAUUGUCCACAAGGUCGAUUUAGUAUUAAUCUCAGUGGGACUUCAUUGAAACUUGCCCCGGAAGUUACCUGGAUCAGCCUGGACACGACAGCCUACGUCAGCGUCGAGAAAAUCAACGACCAGAGGGUUUUCGGGAAAUGCGGAGGAUAUUGCGGAUUCUGCAUACCGAAGACUGGCUUGAAACUUGACGUGCUACCCCCUUAAACGAAAGAAAAAUGAAAGCCGAGUGAAUCCAGGUGUACCAAAGCCGUCCUCGCCAGCUUUGCCGAAGCUCGAAAAGUCUGCCACUCGUUUAAGCAGGAAUCCAAGUGACGAAUUUCUAAUGACUAAUUACUCGGGAGAGUAGACGGAAAGGGAAGAAGAGAUCAGCCGAGAAUUCUGCGGUCGAAUUCCUAACAGCUGACUCGGCGACUUUUGAAGACGAUGCUUCAUUCUGGUCGUAAAAGCGAAAAUGCGCAUUGGAGGACCGUGCAAAACGAAUCAUACGUGUAUUGCAAGCUGGAUUGAUAGUAUUACUAUAUGGACAGCAACCCAUAAUGUCGGAUCUCCAAGAGCUGAUCAACGACUUUAGAAGAUGGUCAUGGAACGGAAAAUGCACAUUGGAGGCCCUUGCAAAAUGAACCGAGGAAAAAAUCCCUCGUGCAUUGUACAAUGGCGACAUGAAUGCCUCCCCUGCAGAUACGACAUCGCCUGUGCAGGAUGGAUGGGCAUUGAUGUCUCCCAGUGUACCCUGGACCAAUAGUAUUACUAUACGGACAGGAAGAUGGUCGUGGAACCGAAAAUGCACAUUGGAGGCCCUUGAAAAAUGAAUCGAGGAAAAAAUCCCUCUUGCAUUGUACAAUGGCGACAUGAAUGCCUCCCCUGCAGAUACGGCAUCGCCUGUGCAGGAUGGGUGGGCAUUGAUGUCUUCCAGUGCACCCUGGACCAAUGGUAUUACUAUACGGACAGGAAACUAUAAUGCGACAACUAGAAGCAAUACAAAGCCGAUUUUUCAAACGGGGGAAGCUCAACACAUACGAAAGAAAUCCGUGAAGAUUUAAUCGGGUAAUUCUUUCACUUAUCUUACUUGCAGCAGAUAAAUGUCGAUGAUAUAUAAAUAGGGAAAAAAGUCCAACUGGACACUCUGAAUUAGUCGAGGGAGAGAUCGAUAUUGACUUUGGAGUCGAUU